rnacentral:tRNA from 1 species
AGCCCCUUGGUCUAGCGGCAAGGAUGCCAGCCUCUGGAUUUUCGGGGAGAGCUGGAGACAGCAGUUCGAAUCUGCUAGGGGCUA